rnacentral:rRNA from 1 species
UCCGGUAACGAUGCUGAAGGGGCAACACCCGUUCCCAUUCCGAAUACGGCCGUUAAGCCCUUCAAGGUCGAUGGUACUUGGUCCUUUGGACCCGGGAGAGUAGAUAGUUACCGGUU